GGUUCAUCACAAUGUUGUUGUGAACGAUACUUCUUCGGUGAUAUCAGAAUGACAUUAGAAGCGAUCAAUUGGUGGCCUUCUUGCUUGGUCAAUAUUGAAAAAAAAAAUGAUGUUCAGGAUUGAAUGUAAUAGUCUAAUACUAUUAGAUUCCAUGAAUGUGUACAACAAUAUAAUAAUCAAUAAAUUCUCAAAUCUUGAAAUCUACAAUAAAUGCAAAUAGGGAUAUGUACAAUAAAUCUAACCAUCUAGGAAUCCUCCAAAACCAUAUACUUUGUGCUAUCUAACACAAUUAAUGCAACUGCAAAUAUAUAUCAACAUCAAUGCAGGGAAAAACAUAAAUACAUUGAAUGCCUAAGGUCUAUUGUGCCUCUAUACAAACUCCUGCAAAGCUCUAACAUAUAAAGUAGAUAAGAUUGUGUUAUAAAUCAUCUAAUAUGGCCAUGAGAAGGAUGGGGAACCCAUUGACUGCUGUUUUCUUGGCUGUUAUGGUCAUGUCCUCCACCCUACCAUCUUGCUAUGCAGCCGAUGAAGGGACGUGCUACGAUGUCAUGUUCUGCCGGGGUGAUGUGUGCAAGCUUAGAUGCAGAUACCUUGGUUACCCUGACAAUGCUCCGUGCUACUGCAAGAGUAAACCGGAUGGUUCGGCACAAUGCUGCUGCGAACGAUCAUCACUCUGAUAUCGGAAUGGAACCAGUGAUUAAUGGUGGCUUUCUUGUUUGGUCAAUGCUAUAUAUGAUUCAUGAUUAAUGUAGAAGCCAUUGAUCCCUACUUGCUCUUGCAUAUGUAAAUUGGCGAUCGAACAAGUAUUUUCAGGUCUCAUGCAUACUCAAUAAACUUGGAUUUGCUAUUUGUUACUA